rnacentral:rRNA from 1 species
GACGAACCGUGCGAACGUUGUUCGGAUUCACUGGGCUUAAAGGGCGCGUAGGCGGCUUGCCAAGUCAGGGGUGAAAUCUUUCGGCUUAACCGGAAAAGUGCUUCUGAUACUGGCAGGCUGGAGGGAGGUAGGGGCAGAUGGAACUUCCGGUGGAGCGGUGAAAUGCGUAGAUAUCGGAAGGAACGCCGGUGGCGAAAGCGAUCUGCUGGACCUCUUCUGACGCUGAUGCGCGAAAGCCAGGGGAGCAAACGGG